CGGAACCUGGCGACGAGUGGCGAACGGGUGAGUAAUGCAUCGGAACGUGCCCAGUAGUGGGGGAUAGCCCGGCGAAAGCCGGAUUAAUACCGCAUACGACCUACGGGUGAAAGCGGGGGACCGCAAGGCCUCGCGCUAUUGGAGCGGCCGAUGUCAGAUUAGGUAGUUGGUGGGGUAAAGGCCUACCAAGCCUACGAUCUGUAGCUGGUCUGAGAGGACGACCAGCCACACUGGGACUGAGACACGGCCCAGACUCCUACGGGAGGCAGCAGUGGGGAAUUUUGGACAAUGGGGGCAACCCUGAUCCAGCCAUGCCGCGUGCGGGAAGAAGGCCUUCGGGUUGUAAACCGCUUUUGUCAGGGAAGAAAUCUCCUGAGCUAAUACCUCGGGGGGAUGACGGUACCUGGAGAAUAAGCACCGGCUAACUACGUGCCAGCAGCCGCGGUAAUACGUAGGGUGCAAGCGUUAAUCGGAAUUACUGGGCGUAAAGCGUGCGCAGGCGGUUGUGCAAGACAGAUGUGAAAUCCCCCGGGCUUAACCUGGGAACUGC
rnacentral:rRNA from 1 species